rnacentral:rRNA from 1 species
UACGUAGGGGUCUAGCGUUGUCCGGAAUCAUUGGGCGUAAAGAGCUCGUAGGUGGUUUGUCGCGUUGUUCGUGAAAUCUCACGGCUUAACUGUGAGCGUGCGGGCGAUACGGGCAGACUAGAGUACUGCAGGGGAGACUGGAAUUCCUGGUGUAGCGGUGGAAUGCGCAGAUAUCAGGAGGAACACCGGUGGCGAAGGCGGGUCUCUGGGCAGUAACUGACGCUGAGGAGCGAAAGCGUGGGGAGCGAACAGG